GGGUGAGUAAUACAUCGGAACGUGUCCAGUAGUGGGGGAUAACCAGUCGAAAGAUUGGCUAAUACCGCAUACGAUCUACGGAUGAAAGCGGGGGACCGCAAGGCCUCGCGCUAUCGGAGCGGCCGAUGUCGGAUUAGCUAGUUGGCGGGGUAAUGGCCCACCAAGGCGACGAUCCGUAGCUGGUCUGAGAGGACGACCAGCCACACUGGAACUGAGACACGGUCCAGACUCCUACGGGAGGCAGCAGUGGGGAAUUUUGGACAAUGGGGGAAACCCUGAUCCAGCCAUGCCGCGUGAGUGAAGAAGGCCUUCGGGUUGUAAAGCUCUUUCGGCGGGGACGAAACGGUUCGUGCCAACACCACGGAUCAAUGACGGUACUCGCAGAAGAAGCACCGGCUAACUACGUGCCAGCAGCCGCGGUAAUACGUAGGGUGCAGGCGUUAAUCGGAAUUACUGGGCGUAAAGCGUGCGCAGGCGGCCUCUUAAGUCAGAUGUGAAAUCCCCGGGCUUAACCUGGGAACUGCGUUUGAAACUGGGAGGCUAGAGUGUGGAAGAGGGGGGUGGAAUUCCAGGCGUAGCAGUGAAAUGCGUAGAGAUCUGGAGGAACACCGAUGGCGAAGGCAGCCCCCUGGGCUGACACUGACGCUCAUGCACGAAAGCGUGGGGAGCAAACAGGAUUAGAUACCCUGGUAGUCCACGCCCUAAACGAUGUCAACUGGUUGUCGGGGAAGUUAUUCCUUGGUAACGAAGCUAACGCGUGAAGUUGACCGCCUGGGGAGUACGGCCGCAAGGUUAAAACUCAAAGGAAUUGACGGGGACCCGCACAAGCGGUGGAUUAUGUGGAUUAAUUCGAUGCAACGCGAAAAA
rnacentral:rRNA from 1 species